rnacentral:lncRNA from 1 species
AGAGGUGGGAGAAUGGCUUGAGGCCAGGAGUUCGACCAGCCUGGGCAACAUAGUGAAGACCCUGUUCUUUACCAACACAAAGGAAAGAAAAAAAAACAGCAGCAGCAGCUUAACACAGCAGCCACAAAGGUCCACCCUGUCAUCCCUGCCAUGUGGCUGGAGGAUCAGGUGUGUUUCCUUUUGAAGCUUAUGCUACAGCAGUGUAAGACCCAGUAUGAGCUGGGGAAGCUUUUACAGCUCUUUGUUGAAAGAGAGCAUCUCUUCUCUGAUGGUAAAGAGGAUUAGGCUGCCUUCAGCCAAAUCUGUCACUGAAGCUAUGCAAACGGCCCAGCCUUCUGAGAAGGUCCAGAUGUGAAAAAGCUUUGCAUCCUUUGCCAGAUUUUGAAGGAUACAUCCAUAGCCAUUAAUCAUACAAUUAUUACCAGCUACAGCAUUGAGAAUCUUCAGCAUGAAUGUAGAUCUAUUUUGGAAAGACUGCAGACAGAUGGACAAUUCGCUUUGGCCAGGAGGGUAGCAGAAUUAGCUGAGUUACCUGUGGACAACUUGGUUAUUAAAGAGAUAACACAGGAAAUGCAGACCCUAAAACACAUUGAACAGUGGUCACUAAAACAAGCAAGAAUUGACUUCUGGAAAAAAUGCCAUGAGAAUUUUAAGAAAAAUUCAAUUUCAAGCAAAGCAGCUUCUUCCUUUUUCUCAACCCAGGCCCAUGUGGCAUGUGAGCACCCAACUGGAUGGAGCAGCAUGGAGGAGCGCCAUCUGCUGCUCACCUUGGCAGGGCACUGGCUUGCCCAGGAGGACGUGGUGCCCUUGGAUAAGCUGGAGGAGCUGGAGAAGCAGAUCUGGCUGUGCCGCAUCACC